ACCAACAGCAAUACUACUACUACUAGUAAACAGCGAGGAGGAUCUCCAGAGAGAUUAAUCGCUCCCUCCCUCCCUCGCGGCGUUUCUUGGAUUUGGCUCCGGAGGAGGAAUCCGGAGCGCCCCGUCCGCGUCUCUCGAUCGAAUCACCGGCCCCGUCGCUUCCGCGGAGCUCCCCCGAUCCCGUCGCCCGGUGCGGUUCGAAUUCCGGCCGAAUUGGCGUUCUUGGCGAUCGGUUUGGAGGCGGGACUGGAUUCUUGAUUGGCUGGCCGGGUUGUCUGUGGGGAGGCUCCGUCGGCCGGGAAUCGCGCCUUCCUCAUCCGGCCAAGACGAAAAAGAACUGAUGCUGUCGCCAAAUUCGGAGUCUUUUGUGCUGAACUUGCUCAUAUGGUGUUUGCUAAAAUAGAAGAAUCUGCUAAAAGAGGUUGGACGGGGGCUGUACGUGGACAUGAACUCGUUCCAUGGAUUCGGGAGGGAGCAUGUGCCAUGGAACUUUGAGAAGACGGAGAACCAUGUGUACCUCAACGUCGUGCAGUAGCAGAAGCUGGAUCGCCAUGAGCUGGAACGCCCGUUGAAGAAGUCACUCUGCUCACCAUCAGUAUGGCAGACUUGUCGCUCAUUAGAUCAUCAGGAGGGAGGUGCGCUGUCAGGUGCGCUGGCUACGUCUCUAGGGACUGUGUGGCGGGUGUGACCUCUCCCAGCUCCCCGCCUUCGCCCGCGAUGAUGAGGACCAGGUCCGCUGCGCCUCCAGUCCCAGAUCAUGGUCGCGCAGGACAUGCUCCGUGACGCUGUGUGUGUGUCGAUCUGAAGCUAUCCUCUAUUGCAUCUAGAGGCUUGUAGAGGCCAUAGAUCAAAUCCGACAAGAGAAGAAAUAUGUGUGUCUGAGGAACCAAGACGCCAAAGGUUCAGAGCGGCGUUGUGCUGAAAAAGCCAGGACAAUGUAAGAGGCUUGCACACAAGGAUCUAGGUUUCUCUACGAGCAGCAGAAUCAAUAUCCGAUAGAAUAUAACAAUUACGGACGAGGAGCCGCAACCGCAGCUUGUUGAGAUGUUGCAUAGCUUUCAGAGAACUAGGAAAGUAAUGGUGGACUCUCAUGAAGCACAGAGACAGAUAAUGUUUGAGGCAAAUUCCUUCACCGGCCCUGCGUAUGAGAAAUUCUUCAAUGAUGCCCAGCGGCAUGCUACUCUCAAGCUGGAGGUCGAGCUUAGGAACUGGAGGUCCUGCUUCGUGAGCUACGUCAGUGCUCAGAAGGCGUACAUCGAAGCCCUUGAUGGUUGGUUGUCCAAGUUCAUGCUCACGGACACCAUCCGUUAAUCCCGGGGAUCUCCUUGAUCGCGCUCGACAGGACCAGCGAGUAGCACACUAUGCUGUCGACAACCGGAUCCUCCUCACAACUGACUCCGACAUGGUACCCAUUCCAACCCAAGAAGAUGACUCAAGGGAGGACUGAUCUAUAUGUAGGCAGAUGGAUGAAUUCCAAGCCAUGAGAUAAAGUACCCUAAACCGAACUUACUAUUUAUUUGCAGUUUGCGAGUACACUUGUACUUCCCUGAUUUCUGCCCCAAAUAGCAUGCUUCCAAAUCCAUGUGUAGUUCCCUGCCUGCUAUGUUUCCAAUCAGAUAAUUUUGGCCACCAAAAUUUCUGGUUAUUUAGAUCGCACUUUUCUGUGGGACAAUGCAGAAAAGGUGUGUUUUGAUGCUCCCAAUAUAAAGGGUCAGGCUUUUCUCAUAAUGAUUCAGGGAGAUAAAAUUUCUUUUAGAAUGUUUACCACUUUGGCUUGCUUUUGUAAUGAACCAAGAUGAAUGAUGUUUGCAAAACUGAAGCUUCAACUACAAUGCUAGGUUCUUAGAUGUUAUGAAGUUUCAAGUGUUCUACUGCUAUCUAUUUCCUACUCGCUCCAUUUCUUUUGUAAGGCAUAUUUUGAUUUGAUCAGUUAAUGCUUUGAAUAAUAAUUACUCUAUUAAUAGUUGCUGCAUGUGAAUAAGUUGAUAUUGGAUUCAUUUCUUUGGGGAGCUAAGCCAUGUAUUUGCAAUUUUAGUAUUAGUUAGCAUAAAAUAGAGAAAUGUCUGGUAGCUUCGUAGGUAGUUACUCCAUUAGUAGGUGGUGCAUGUGAAUAAGUUAAUAUUGGAUUCAUUUCUUUGGGGAGCUAAGCCAUGUAUUUGCAAUUUCAGUAACAUAGUUAGUGUAAAAUAGAUAAAUUUCUGGUAGCUUUGUAGGCAUUGAAGAAAAAACAAUAAAUCCCUUGCUAAAUAUACCAAGGUGAUGUCCACAUAUAUCCUUGGCUUUGUUUGUAAAGAAGCGAGUAGACAUUCUACUUUUGUGUAAGUUAAAGAUAUGCUUUGAUGUAUUUCUUCAGUGAACAACACCGGAUUUUCGUAUGAGUUGCCUAUUUAUAUUUUGAUAUUUACAUAAUGCAUUCACCAAGUAAAUCAGGAAGUAUGCAUCUAUACUGGAAAGGAAGCGCUCAAAUGUGAUGUGCAUCAAAUACUUAGGUCAAUCGUUGCCUUUUUUUUGUUGCCCUUAGUGUAUUUUAGUUAUGAUUUUGCAUCCCGACGUGUUUGACAAUCUAGGUACAUUAAUUAUGCUCGUGGUCAUGGUAUGUCUGAUUGUAGGUGCUUUAAAAUGACCUAUACUUAGCAUUUUUCCUCCAAAUGACUUAAUAUGCUUAGCUAGCUCUAAAAUGACUUACGAAAUGCCAUAUUUUAGCUCCGAAAUGACUUCAUAUGCUUAGCUAGUUCCAAAAUGACAUAAUAAACUUAUUAGUUCCAAAAUGACCUUACUUAGCAUUUUUUACACCAAAAUGACUUAGUAUGCUUAGUUAGCUUAAAAAUGACAUAAUAACCAUACUUAGCUUCAAAAUGACCUAUUUUACAGAUAUAAGUUGCAUC